rnacentral:rRNA from 1 species
CGUAAUCACUUGUCUUUUAAAUGGAGACCUGUAUGAAUGGCAUAACGAGGGCUUAACUGUCUCCUCUUUCCAGUCAAUGAAAUUGAUCUCCCCGUGCAGAAGCGGGGAUAACCACAUAAGACGAGAAGACCCUAUGGAGCUUUAGACACCAAGACAGAUCAUGUUAAAUACCCCUUAACAACGGCCUAAACUUAAUGACCCCCUGUCCUAAUGUCUUCGGUUGGGGCGACCAUGGGGAAGCACAAAACCCCCAUGUGGAAUGGGAGAACAAACCCAAUACCCUCUUUCCCACACUCCCACAAGCAAGAGCCACCACUCAAGCUAACAGAAUUUCUGACCUUUCAUGAUCCGGCACUAGCCGAUCAACGGACCAAGUUACCCUAGGGAUAACAGCGCAAUCCCCUUUUAGAGCCCAUAUCGACAAGGGGGUUUACGACCUCGAU